rnacentral:rRNA from 1 species
UACGUAGGGCGCAAGCGUUAUCCGGAAUUAUUGGGCGUAAAGAGCUCGUAGGCGGUUUGUCGCGUCUGCCGUGAAAGUCCGGGGCUCAACUCCGGAUCUGCGGUGGGUACGGGCAGACUAGAGUGGUGUAGGGGAGACUGGAAUUCCUGGUGUAGCGGUGAAAUGCGCAGAUAUCAGGAGGAACACCGAUAGCGAAGGCAGGUCUCUGGGCAUUAACUGACGCUGAGGAGCGAAAGCAUGGGGAGCGAACAGG